rnacentral:rRNA from 1 species
UACGGAGGGAGCUAGCGUUGUUCGGAAUUACUGGGCGUAAGGCGCACGUAGGCGGCUAUUCAAGUCGGGGGUGAAAGCCCGGGGCUCAACCCCGGAACUGCCCUCGAAACUAGGUAGCUAGAAUCUUGGAGAGGCGAGUGGAAUUCCGAGUGUAGAGGUGAAAUUCGUAGAUAUUCGGAAGAACACCAGUGGCGAAGGCGACUCGCUGGACAAGUAUUGACGCUGAGGUGCGAAAGCGUGGGGAGCAAACAGG